UCGAGCGAACAGACGAGGAGCUUGCUCCUCUGACGUUAGCGGCGGACGGGUGAGUAACACGUGGAUAACCUACCUAUAAGACUGGGAUAACUUCGGGAAACCGGAGCUAAUACCGGAUAAUAUAUUGAACCGCAUGGUUCAAUAGUGAAAGACGGUUUUGCUGUCACUUAUAGAUGGAUCCGCGCCGCAUUAGCUAGUUGGUAAGGUAACGGCUUACCAAGGCAACGAUGCGUAGCCGACCUGAGAGGGUGAUCGGCCACACUGGAACUGAGACACGGUCCAGACUCCUACGGGAGGCAGCAGUAGGGAAUCUUCCGCAAUGGGCGAAAGCCUGACGGAGCAACGCCGCGUGAGUGAUGAAGGUCUUCGGAUCGUAAAACUCUGUUAUUAGGGAAGAACAAAUGUGUAAGUAACUAUGCACGUCUUGACGGUACCUAAUCAGAAAGCCACGGCUAACUACGUGCCAGCAGCCGCGGUAAUACGUAGGUGGCAAGCGUUAUCCGGAAUUAUUGGGCGUAAAGCGCGCGUAGGCGGUUUUUUAAGUCUGAUGUGAAAGCCCACGGCUCAACCGUGGAGGGUCAUUGGAAACUGGAAAACUUGAGUGCAGAAGAGGAAAGUGGAAUUCCAUGUGUAGCGGUGAAAUGCGCAGAGAUAUGGAGGAACACCAGUGGCGAAGGCGACUUUCUGGUCUGUAACUGACGCUGAUGUGCGAAAGCGUGGGGAUCAAACAGGAUUAGAUACCCUGGUAGUCCACGCCGUAAACGAUGAGUGCUAAGUGUUAGGGGGUUUCCGCCCCUUAGUGCUGCAGCUAACGCAUUAAGCACUCCGCCUGGGGAGUACGACCGCAAGGUUGAAACUCAAAGGAAUUGACGGGGACCCGCACAAGCGGUGGAGCAUGUGGGUUUAAUUCGAAGCAACGCGAAGAACCUUACCAAAUCUUGACAUCCUCUGACCCCUCUAGAGAUAGAGUUUUCCCCUUCGGGGGACAGAGUGACAGGUGGUGCAUGGUGUCGUCAGCUCGUGUCGUGAGAUGAUGGGCUAAGUACCCGCAACGAGC
rnacentral:rRNA from 1 species